UACGUAGGGGGCGAGCGUUGUCCGGAGUUACUGGGCGUAAAGCGCUUGUAGGCGGUCCACCAAGUUUGGGGUGACAGUUGCCGACUUAAUCGGCAAAGUGCCUCAAAGACUGGCGGACUUGAGGGCCACAGAGGGACAUGGAAUUCCAGGUGUAGUGGUGAAAUGCGUAGAUAUCUGGAAGGACACCAAAGGCGAAGGCAGUGUCCUGGGUGGUCGCUGAUGCUGAGAGGCGAAAGCCAGGGGAGCGAACGGG
rnacentral:rRNA from 1 species